GCCUGGCUCGUUCAGUUGGCAGAACAUGAAACUCUUAAUCUUGGGGUUGUGAGUUCAAGCCCCACAUUAGGUG
rnacentral:tRNA from 1 species